CCUCGCUCUGUCGCCCAGGCUGGAGUGCAAUGGUGCAACCUCUCUGCAACCUCCGCCUCGCGGGUUCAAGCGAUUCUCCUGCUUCAGCCUCCUGAGUAGCUGGGAUUACAGGCAUUCGCAACCACGCCCAGUUAAUUUUUGCAUUUUUAGUAGAGACGGGUUUCACCGUGUUGACCAGGCUGGUCUUGAACUCCUGACCUCAUGUGAUCCACCUGUCUCCGCCUCCCAAAGUGCUGGGAUGACAGGCGUGAGCCACCAUACCUGGCCGACUUGCUGUUUAAUUCAGCAAAAAGGUGUUGUAUUUCUGCUUUGCUGUGACAUGUAUCGGAAAAUUGAGCAUAUGGAAAUAAUGAGUGUGAAGAGCAGCAUGUGCUCCUGUUUGGGCAUUAUGCCUCAUUAGAAAAAAAUCUGGCCUUUCCGGAGGUUGCAGUGAGCCGAGAUUGUGCCACUGCACUCCAGCCUGGGUGACAGGGUGAGACUCAGUCUCAAAAACAAAACAAAACAAAAACUACCAUCUCCUAUAAAAGGGCAUUAAAAUUUUCCAAAAUUUGGGAUUUUGAACACCGUCCCAAUUUAGUAUCAAAGUAUUUUUGAGAAUGCCAAAUAUCCUUUGAUACUAAAUUGGGACGCUGUUCAAAAUGACACAGUGUCUGCAGCUCACCUUCAUUAUUCCUAGACUCUCCCUUACCAUCCACAGCUCUUCUUGCAUCUACCGGAUCACCAAGAACUUGCACAGCUAUCAUUCUGCUUGUAGGAAAGGGCACAUGCUGGAUUAAAACCGUGCAGAUGACCACAUCCUUUUACAAACCAGGGGCAACUCUGUGGCUUCCUAGGCUACAGAUUCUCUCAGACUACACUAGCAGCAAAUUGAGAAGGCCACCUCUUUAAUACAAUUUACAAUUCAUUCAAAAGGACUCUAUAAACAGCCACACUUGAUGGCCCGAAUAACUGGUGAGACUCUGGUGACCUUUUCACUUCAUAGGUACAUAUCAUAUUACCUAAAGCUUUUGAGCAUUGCAAAAAUAAAGAUGGACCGGCCAGGCAUGGU
rnacentral:lncRNA from 10 species